GAAUUAAAGGGCGUCUCGGCAUGCUCGCAUCAGUUUGCGUCGGCGACAUGGUAACGGCCAACGUCGAAAAAGGGCAGCCCGGCCGAUUUGAGUAAAAGGUUCUGCCAGCUGUCGUCGUCCGACAGCCGCAAACCUUGGCGUAGAAACGACGGCGUUUACAUGUACUUUGAAGGCCUAAAUGAUUUCCUUCUUCUUGAAGUUUUAUUUCUUCGAUUUGUUUUUUGUUGCUGGUUCUGAUUGUUGGUUACACUUAAUGAGAAGCAUAAAAUAAUGAUAAUUUGCUAGGUUUAAACAGCAUGAUGUUAUUGUUUUUUUACUGUUGCCACGUAUUUCACAGCUUAAUUUGGGCUUUAUCCAUCUGUUUGAAGAUAAUGAAAGGUAUACCAACCAAUUCAUCUUCUUCACUCUAUUUUGUUAUAUUCGAUUAUAAUAACAGUGUUUGUCGAAUUGUGGGGUUAAAAUGCUAAAAUUUAGCUGUUAUGUUGCUUUGAGCUAUGUUCAAAUGAAGUUUUUUUUGGCAUUGGGUUCUCUCUGGUUCACUUGUUCUUGCAAUAUUAGAUGUGAAAUCUUGUUGUAGAUGUGAAAUCUUGUUGAUCUGCCUGGUAUUUCUAAAUUCCAUGAAGGUGAACAUCCCUCUGUGACUAUGACCAUUCACUUAAAGAAUCUGAUUUCUGUUCUUCUAAAUUAACAUAAAACCUGGGGAUGUUAGUUUUCUUUUCUAUAAGUAUGGUUUCCCAAAACAUUACUUGAAAAUAUGUUUUUAUUUGCACUUGUGGUGGCCAUAGAUGUAAUGAAAUUUGUUAGGCUGGUUCUAUCGAUACCUUCAUUGUUGGUUUGUUGCUUAGUGGCAGAAAGUGAUAUGUUCUUUGAUUUGAUGCUUUGGAACUUAUUUGGGAUACUUGAUUUGAUGUUUUUCAGGAUCUGCUGUCAUUGGUCCCAUUAGAACGGAGUGCUGAUCUGUGGCCUAGAAUUACAAGUGCUGCCAAUGCUAUUAUUUCCCUUUAACAUUUUUCUGAGGGAUUUUGAUCAAACAAUAUGUUCAAGGAACCAUUUUCAGACUCAUUUCAUUGUCAGUACAGAUGAAUAGAAGAUUGGACAAUUGGAACAAUUAUCGGCCAAGAGACAAACACAAUUGCAAUAUGAAAGCUGACAUUUACUAGCAGAAAGGGUUUAAAACAGUGAUCCAUCCACUAUGCCAAACCUGUAAGGCCACCUAAGGAUGCCUAUGGUUGCUAGUUUCUUGGGGAACUGGAACCUGACAAUCCAACUUAUCGACUAGGGACAAACAUUUAGAAACAAAGUUCAUCUUCCUAUGUGAUAUAGGACUUUGGCCAAUAAUUUUCCCACAGAAAAUUUUAGCCUUCUUAUUAGUUUUACUUCCUUUCUACUUCUGAUAUCCAGUUAGCUUGCUAACAGUUAUACUUCCUAAUGGUUUUCUCAGGCAAACCUGUGUUCGUGCUGAUAGUUCUUGUGCCAACAAACGCAUGGUUGGUCUCGACUCUGCCUCGAUAUUUGUGCAUGCCAAGCCCAUUCUGACAACGAAUUCAACUUCCUCUGCUAUUUUGCCCCUAGGAGGUGGGAGUCGUUGGUCUAGCAAAUCCUUCAAACACAUUUCUCUAUUUCCAGGUGACAAUGUCGAAGAAGAUGAUGAUAGGGGAUUCAAGAGUUCCCCUGGGUGUCUUCCCAUCAUUACCUCUAAUGCCACUACUCCAAAGCUAUAAACAUCGCAUUUAUUUGUCAGCUGCAUGGUGAGUGCCAACUCUAGACAUUCCAGGUAAACAAAAAGAAAAAACUUUAAGCCUUCAUAUAGUGUUAUUCAGAGAGUAUGUGAAAUAAGAAUGCAGAAAUUAUAUUGUUAACCUGGGGCCAUGUAGCCAUAAGACCCAACAACAGCCGUCCAAUUGGAUGAAUUGGGAUCCAACAAUCUCGCGGUUCCGAAAUCUGAAAGUUUUGGCUCCAAUCCAGCUUCCAACAAAACAUUACUCAAAGAUAUGUCUCGGUGUAUAACAGGUGGGGAACAAUCAUGAUGCAGGUAAGCAACCGCGUGAGCCAAUCCUUGCACAAUUUUCACCCUUUUAGCCCAGCCUAGCUCAACUCCACCUUCUUCUCCAUACAAUGCACUUUUUAAGCUUCCUCUUUCCAUAUACUCAUAAACCAAGUACAUUAGCCCUUUAUGAGAACAAGACCCGUAUAGCUUGAUGAUGUUUUGAUGCCUAAUUUCUGUUAGCAUAAGGAUUUCAUUCUCAAAACUUUGCCGAUUGAUGACUUCAACGUCAAUGGAGUCUGGUAUAUUGAGUUUUUUAACUGCAACUACUUGACCUGUAGGCAAUUCUGCUAUGUAAACACUGCCUGAUCCUCCUUUCCCAAUGCAGUACCUUUCAUUGAAAUCCUCUGUUGCUUUUACUAUGUCUCCAAAUUUGAACCUUCUUUCUAUUGUGUUCCAUAUUGACUCAGAAUGUUCGAACUUUCUACCUUCAGCUUCCUUAUCUAGUUGAUUUCUUCGGUGACGACAAGUGAAAAUUGCAGCCGCAGUUGCUAAUACGCCAAAGACAGGAAGUGUAAUACCAAGAACCACCUUUACGGUACGCUGUCUCGAGCUCUUACUAGUUGAAACUGAACCACAAGGAGAAAGUCCUUUGAUAUUUGCACACAAUCCUGAGUUUCCAGCAAAGGCUUCUUGGGAAGCAUUUUGGAAUGGACCAGCAAUUGGAACCGAACCCGUCAACUCGUUGUAGGAAAAAUCAAAUGAAUAAAGACUGAUCAUUUGGAGCAACGUGGUCGGGAUUUCACCAGAGAGAUUGUUGUGUGAAAGAUUAAUAUUCUCCAGUGAAAUCAGUCUUCCCAACUCUGGAGGGAUUUUCCCUGAAAUUGAAUUGCUGCUGAGGUCUAAUGAAUACUGAAGAACAUCCAAGCUCCCUAACUCACCUGGAAGGUCACCAGAUAACUUGUUGUGGUUCAAGUUCAAGCUCAACAACUUGUUGCAGUUCCCAAGCUCUUUUGGUGUUGUUCCAGUCAAGCUGUUUUUGGACAAAUCUAAAAAUUGAAGCUCCAAUAGACCACCGAUGGUACGAGGUAUCGGUCCUGACAGAUGAUUGUUGCUCAAAUUGAGUUCAAACAACUUCUUCAAAUUCCCAAGCUCACUAGGAAUGGUCCCAGUCAACUUGUUUGAGUCCAAAGUUAACAACUGCAACUCUGUCAACUUUCCGAGCUCAGCUGGUAUUUCACCCGAAAUUCGAUUCCGGUCCAUCCGUAGAUUGGUAAGGAUUUUGCAUUCUCCCCACUCUGGCGAGAUUUCACCAAUGAAUUGAUUGUCCAUGAGGUUAAUAAAUUUGAGAUUCGGAUGAACUCCAAAUGCAUUCGUAAUGCUACCUGUAAAUUGGUUCCCAUCAAGACGAACUCUGUUUAAUCCACUGCAGUUUCUCAGGCAAGCUGGCAAUGACCCUGUGAAGUUGUUGCCAUUAACAGUAAACAUUACAAGAGCAAAGCCACUACACAAUUGAGGAGGCAAUUCCCCAGAGAAACUGUUGUUGGCAAAGUCAACAAAAUUCAGCUGAGGAAUGUAUCUCCCAAAAUCCUGAGGAAUUCUCCCUGAGAAUUUAUUGCUAGACAACGAAAAGCCUUGUAAAUUAGUGAGCCGAGAAAUGGACUCUGGCAACUCACCGUACAGUCGGUUCGAUUCAAGGUUUAAAGAUGAGAUCGAUGUCAGAUUACCAAUAUCUUCCGGUAUUGUGCCUUUGAGAUUAUUUUCGAAAAGUUGCAAGAGUUCCAGGUUUUUCAUACCCCAUAGAGUCAGAGGAAUGGGGCCCGAAAGCUUGUUUGUUGAAAGGCUUAAUUGUGUGAGAUUCUCCAAGCUCCCUAUCUCAGAAGGAAUCGGUCCGGAUAGUUUGUUCGUAAACAAAUAGAGGAGAUUGAGCUUUCUCAAUAAGCCAAUUUCUGGAGGUAUCUUUCCAGUGAAAGAGUUGAACUGAAGUUGCACUGAGAUCAAGUUGGUCCAGUUACUGAUAAGAGAAGGUAGGAUCUCACCAGAAAGUAAAUUAUGAGACAACCCCAACUCAGAUAUUUUGGUGAGAUUAGACAAUGACAAUGGUAAUUCCCCAGUAAGUUUAUUCUCAGCUAAGGCCAGAAAAGUGAGAUUAGAACAAGAACCAAGCUCAAAAGGAAUUGUGGAAUUCAAUCUAUUGGAAUGAAGAUCAAGUUUCUGGAGCUUUGUUAAUUGGCCUAAAGAAGAUGGAAUCUUGUUUUCAAAUGAAUUUUCACACAAUUCCAAGGUUUCAAGAUCUGAAAGGAACCCAAUACUCUCAGGGAUUGGACCAUUUAACUUAUUGGUUCCUAAAUGGAGGUUUAUGAGCUUAGAAAGCUUGGAAAUGUUUGGUGACAAUGGUCCCUGGAAUGAAUUAUUUGUGAGGUUAAGAUACUGAAGCUGACCCAAAUUGGUGAAAACUGACUCUGGUAUUGGCCCUGUUAGAUUGUUCACUGACAAGUCAAGGAAAGUCAAAUUCCUACAAUCUUGUAUAAAACCAGGGAACCUCAAAGUAAGUGAAUUGUUUGCUAGACUGAGGUGUCUUAACAAUGGCAUAGCUAAGAACUUGGACCAAUCAGGUGAGUCUAACUUGUUACAGCUAAGGUCUAAGUACCACAAUUUUUGAAGAGUGCUAACUUGGUAAGUGAUUGUACCAUUGAGAUUGUUGUUAAACAGGUUGAGAUAUCGAAGCUCUGGUAAUUGUCCAAGCUCCGAGGGUAUGUUACCUUUGAAGUAGUUGUCGCUCAAAUCCAGGUAAACAAGCUUAGACAGGCUACCGAUGGCGACAGGUUUAGUUCAGACACCAUGCCAGCACCGUCACAGGCAACUGAAGUCCAGUUGCAGAGGUUGUUAAUGUUUUCAGCAGACCAAGAUUCCAGAGAUGUUGGAGAGUGAACCAAGCUGUUCUUCCAUUGAAUAAGGGCUUCCCCUUGUGAUCUUGCUGAAGAAAAGGUAAUAUUAAAAGGAUUUAAGCUAAGAAACAUAAAAUGGCAAACAAAAAUGGAAAGCUUUUGAAUAGUUGACAUGGGGUUUUAUUUAGUUCUAUACUUGCUUCAUUGUUCUUGAUUAACACUCUCAUUUAUAGCUGCUACUGAUUGGCAUUUCUGUAACAAAAAAUGUGAGUUUUUCAUUUCAUUGGUCUCAUAUUAAUAUACAUUAUUUUGGGGUUGUUAAACAGAUUUAUCUAACCAAAGUUUGUCCUUUAUAAAGGACUAAAUUCUAGUUUCAUGAUUCAAUUUAUACAAUUUCUUUUUUCAUUUCUUUU